AGAGCUUGCUCUUAUGAAGUUAGCGGCGGACGGGUGAGUAACACGUGGGUAACCUGCCCAUAAGACUGGGAUAACUCCGGGAAACCGGGGCUAAUACCGGAUAAUAUUUUGAACUGCAUGGUUCGAAAUUGAAAGGCGGCUUCGGCUGUCACUUAUGGAUGGACCCGCGUCGCAUUAGCUAGUUGGUGAGGUAACGGCUCACCAAGGCAACGAUGCGUAGCCGACCUGAGAGGGUGAUCGGCCACACUGGGACUGAGACACGGCCCAGACUCCUACGGGAGGCAGCAGUAGGGAAUCUUCCGCAAUGGACGAAAGUCUGACGGAGCAACGCCGCGUGAGUGAUGAAGGCUUUCGGGUCGUAAAACUCUGUUGUUAGGGAAGAACAAGUGCUAGUUGAAUAAGCUGGCACCUUGACGGUACCUAACCAGAAAGCCACGGCUAACUACGUGCCA
rnacentral:rRNA from 1 species